rnacentral:rRNA from 1 species
GUAGUCUCGCACAGAUGCAUAUCAAUAAGCGGAGGAAAAGAAACUAACAAGGAUUCCCUUAGUAACGGCGAGUGAAGCGGGAAGAGCUCAAAUUUGAAAUCUUCAAGGUUUUACCUUGACGAAUUGUAGUUUAAAGAAGUGUUUUCUGUUGAAGUUUUGGUAAAAGUUCUUUGGAAUAGGACAUCAUAGAGGGUGAGAAUCCCGUAUUUGACCAUUAUUUUCAGCUGUGUGAUACACUUUCAAAGAGUCGGAUUGUUUGGGAAUGCAGUCCAAAAUGGGUGGUAAAUUUCAUCUAAAGCUAAAUAUUGGCGAGAGACCGAUAGCGAACAAGUACCGUGAGGGAAAGAUGAAAAGAACUUUGAAAAGAGAGUUAAACAGUACGUGAAAUUGUCAAAAGGGAAGCGUUUGACACCAGUGUUGUUUUCUCGAAAAUCAAUUAGAAAGAGUUUGAUUUUGUUGUGUAUUGACCUUAACAGCUUGCAUUUCAAUUUUCUUGCUUUUUUUAAUGCACUUUUCGUUUAACAAGUCAACAUCAGUUUCUUUUGUUGUAAAAAGGUCAUUGGAAGGUGGCUUUCUUUUCGGAGAAAGUGUUUAUAGCCUUUGACUCCUGCAAUCGGAGAGACUGAGGUCUGCAGCGUAGAUCCUUCGGGGUUAGAUACAUUUGUGCUAAGUUAUAGCUUUUUAUAGACAACUUGUUGACUAUGAUUAGUCUUGUAGCUUACUCGCUUAUGCUAUUUUACCUACGCUUAGGAUGUUGAGCGCAUGUCUCUCUCU